rnacentral:rRNA from 1 species
AGUGAACGCUGGCGGUGGGCCUAACACAUGCAAGUCGAACGGCAGCGCAGUAAGAGCUUGCUCUUACGGGUGGCCAGUCGCGGAAGGGUGAGGAAUACAUCGGACUCUACUUUUUCGUAGGGGAUCACGUAGGGAGACUUACGCUCAUACCGCAUACGACCUACGGUUGAAAGCAGGGGAUCUUCUGACCUUGCGCGAUUGAAUGCGCCGAUGUCGGAUUAGCUAGUUGGCGGGGUAAAGGCCCACCAAGGCGCCGAUCCGUAGCUGGUGAGAGAGGCUGGUCAGCGACACUGGAAGUGAGACACGGUCCAGAGGCCUACGGGAGGGCGCAGUGGGGAAUAUUGGACAAUGGGCGCAAGCCUGGUCCAGCCAUACCGCGUGUGUGGAGAAGGCCCUCGGUGUGUAAAGCCCGUUUGUUGGGAAUGAAAAGCAUCAGGUUAAUACCCCGCUGUUCUGACGGUACCCAAAGAAGAAGCACCGGCUAACUUCGUG